AAAUCUUCGAUGAACGGGAAAGUAGAUUUGGCUGCUUUAUAGAGAGGCUCUGGUUGGUGCAAAGAGUCAUGACAGCAAAUUGAACAAUGGCCCGGGAGAAGCGGUCGCCGAUAAGUAGGCGAUAGCGGAGCGUCUCACCGUUACAAGAGACACCGAUCUCGUUAGAUGUCGGGCUGAGGGAAGGGUAACCUUCCGAAUAAAGGUGGUAACACGAUACGUCGUCCUUUUA
rnacentral:ncRNA from 1 species